rnacentral:siRNA from 1 species
UAUUCAUGUCUACUCUAGUGCG